rnacentral:pre_miRNA from 1 species
UAAAUACUUCCUGUGUUUUAAAAUUCUUUUCUUAGAUUUAUCUACAUAUGAAUGUAUCUAGUCACGUUUUANNNNUUAGAUACAUCCAUUUUUAGACAAACCUAAGACAAGAAUUUUGGGUCGGAGAGAAUAGCAC